rnacentral:ncRNA from 2 species
GGGACUUGCUAGGGGUGCGCAUAUGCUGAGAUUUUACCCUCAUUACCUGAACCGGAUAAUACUGGCGUAGGGAAGCAACUGUAAAGAGAA